CAGCAGUGGGGAAUAUUGCACAAUGGGCGCAAGCCUGAUGCAGCAACGCCGCGUGAGCGAUGAAGGCCUUCGGGGUCGUAAAGCUCUGUCCUCAAGGAAGAAUAAAUGACGGUACUUGAGGAGGAAGCCCCGGCUAACUACGUGCCAGCAGCCGCGGUAAUACGUAGGGGGCAAGCGUUAUCCGGAAUCACUGGGCGUAAAGGGUGCGUAGGCGGUUUUCAAGUCAGAAGUGAAAGGCUAUGGCUCAACCAUAGUAAGCUUUUGAAACUGUUAAACUUGAGUGCAGGAGAGGAAAGUGGAAUUCCUAGUGUAGAGGUGAAAUUCGUAGAUAUUAGGAGGAACACCAGUGGCGGAGGCGACUUUCUGGACUGUAACUGACGCUGAGGCACGAAAGCGUGGGGAGCGAACAGGAUUAGAUACCAUGGUAG
rnacentral:rRNA from 1 species